rnacentral:rRNA from 1 species
GUCCUACGGGGCGCAGCAGUGGGGAAUAUUGCACAAUGGGGGAAACCCUGAUGCAGCGACGCCGCGUGAGUGAAGAAGUAUUUCGGUAUGUAAAGCUCUAUCAGCAGGGAAGAAAAUGACGGUACCUGACUAAGAAGCCCCGGCUAACUACGUGCCAGCAGCCGCGGUAAUACGUAGGGGGCGAGCGUUAUCCGGAUUUACUGGGUGUAAAGGGAGCGUAGACGGCAUGGCAAGUCUGGAGUGAAAGCCGGGGGCCCAACCCCGGG